GGAGGAAAAGAAACCAACAGGGAUUGCCUUAGUAACGGCGAGUGAAGCGGCAACAGCUCAAAUUUGAAAUCUGGCCCUCGGGUCCGAAUUGUAAUUUGUAGAGGAUGAUUUUGGUGCGGUAUCUUCCGAGUUCCUUGGAACAGGACGCCUUAGAGGGUGAGAGCCCCGUACGGUUGAAUGCCUAGCCUCUGUAAAUCUCCUUCGACGAGUCGAGUAGUUUGGGAAUGCUGCUCUAAAUGGGAGGUAAAUUUCUUCUAAAGCUAAAUAUUGGCCAGAGACCGAUAGCGCACAAGUAGAGUGAUCGAAAGAUGAAAAGCACUUUGAAAAGAGGGUUAAAUAGCACGUGAAAUUGUUGAAAGGGAAGGAUUUGUGACCAGACUUUUUCUGGGCGGAUCAUCCGGGGUUCUCUCCGGUGCACUUUGCCCAGUAAAGGCCAGCAUCGAUUUUCGGCGGCGGAUAAAAGCAGUGGGAAUGUGGCUCCCUACGGGGAGUGUUAUAGCCCAUUGUAUAAUACGCUGCUGGGGAUCGAGGUACGCGCUUCUGCAAGGAUGCUGGCGUAAUGGUUAUCAAUCACCCGUCUUGAAACACGGACCAAGGAGUCGAACAUUUAUGCGAGUGUUUGGGUGUUAAACCCUCACGCGUAAUGAAAGUGAACGGAGGUGAGAGCCCGUACGGGUGCAUCAUCGACCGAUCCUGAAGUUUUCGGAUGGAUUUGAGUAAGAGCAUAACUGUUCGGACCCGAAAGAUGGUGAACUAUGCGUGGAUAGGGUGAAGCCAGAGGAAACUCUGGUGGAGGCUCGCAGCGGUUCUGACGUGCAAAUCGAUCGUCAAAUCUGCGCAUGGGGGCGAAAGACUAAUCGAACCAUCUAGUAGCUGGU
rnacentral:rRNA from 1 species